UACGGGGGGGGCAAGCGUUGUUCGGAAUUACUGGGCGUAAAGCGUGCGCAGGCGGUUUGCUAAGAGAGAUGUGAAAUCCCCGGGCUUAACCUGGGAACUGCGUUUCUAACUGGCAGGCUUGAGUGUGGCAGAGGGGGGUGGAAUUCCACGUGUAGCAGUGAAAUGCGUAGAGAUGUGGAGGAGCACCGAUGGCGAAGGCAGCCCCCUGGGCUAACACUGACGCUCAUGCACGAAAGCGUGGGGAGCAAACAGG
rnacentral:rRNA from 1 species